UACGUAGGGCGCAAGCGUUAUCCGGAAUUAUUGGGCGUAAAGAGCUCGUAGGCGGUUUGUCGCGUCUGCCGUGAAAGUCCGGGGCUCAACUCCGGAUCUGCGGUGGGUACGGGCAGACUAGAGUGAUGUAGGGGAGACUGGAAUUCCUGGUGUAGCGGUGAAAGUGCGCAGAUAUCAGGAGGAACACCGAUGGCGAAGGCAGGUCUCUGGGCAUUAACUGACGCUGAGGAGCGAAAGCAUGGGGAGCGAACAGG
rnacentral:rRNA from 1 species